UGGGGGAUAUUGCACAAUGGGCGAAAGCCUGAUGCAGCGACGCCGCGUGGGGGAUGAAGGCCUUCGGGUUGUAGACUUCUUUUGCUCUGAACAAGGCAUGCUAAUGGGUGUGUUGAGUGUAGGGGUUGAUUAGCGCCGGCUAACUACGUGCCAGCAGCCGCGGUAAUACGUAGGGCGCGAGCGUUGUCCGGAAUUAUUGGGCGUAAAGGGCUUGUAGGUGGCUGGUUGCGUCUGUCGUGAAAGCUCAUGGCUUAACUGUGGGUUUGCGGUGGGUACGGGCUGGCUUGAGUGCAGUAGGGGAGGCUGGAAUUCCUGGUGUAGCGGUGGAAUGCGCAGAUAUCAGGAGGAAUACCGGUGGCGAAGGCGGGUCUCUGGGCUGUUACUGACACUGAGGAGCGAAAGCAUGGGGAGCGAACAGG
rnacentral:rRNA from 1 species